AGCCUUCAGGCUUUCUUUUAGUCAAGAUGAGUGACGAGCCAGAUUUGUCGGAAAUGGAGAAGUUUGACAGGUCAAAACUGAAGAAAACUAAUACUGAAGAAAAAAAUACUCUUCCCUCUAAGGAAACUAUCCAGCCGGAGAAAGACGAUGUUCAAACAUCGUAA